GGACUACCCGGGUUUCUAAUCCCGUUCGCUCCCCAUGCUGUCGUGUCUGAAGGUCGAACCGGAGCCAGGACGCCGCCUUCGCCUCUGGUGUUCUGCCGGAUCUCUACGCAUUUCACCACUACACCCGGCAUUCCACGUCCCUCUCUCCGUUCCUAGACGACCAGUCUGGCAUAACCUUGCCCGGUUGAGCCGGACGAUUUUAUACACCACUUAGCCAUCCCUCUGCACACGCUUUACGCCCAGUAAAUCCGGAUAACGCUUGCCACCUACGUUUUACCGCGGCGGCUGGCAC
rnacentral:rRNA from 1 species